GGGCGAGUGGCGAAAUGGCAGACGCGCUGGCUUCAGGUGCCAGUAUUCGAAAGGAUGUGCGGGUUCAAGUCCCGCCUCGCCCACCA
rnacentral:tRNA from 2 species